GAUGAACGCUGGCGGCGUGCCUAAUACAUGCCAGUCGAGCGAACGGACGAGAAGCUUGCUUCUCUGAUGUUAGCGGCGGACGGGUGAGUAACACGUGGAUAACCUACCUAUAAGACUGGGAUAACUUCGGGAAACCGGAGCUAAUACCGGAUAAUAUUUUGAACCGCAUGGUUCAAAAGUGAAAGACGGUCUUGCUGUCACUUAUAGAUGGAUCCGCGCUGCAUUAGCUAGUUGGUAAGGUAACGGCUUACCAAGGCAACGAUGCAUAGCCGACCUGAGAGGGUGAUCGGCCACACUGGAACUGAGACACGGUCCAGACUCCUACGGGAGGCAGCAGUAGGGAAUCGUCCGCAAUGGGCGAAAGCCUUACGGAGCAACGCCGCGUGAGUGAUGAAGGUCUUCGGAUCGUAAAACUCUGUUAUUAGGGAAGAACAUAUGUGUAAGUAACUGUGCACAUCUUGACGGUACCUAAUCAGAAAGCCACGGCUAACUACGUG
rnacentral:rRNA from 1 species